rnacentral:rRNA from 1 species
AGGGUUUGAUUAUGGCUCAGGAUGAACGCUAGCUACAGGCUUAACACAUGCAAGUCGAGGGGCAGCAUGAUUGAAGCUUGCUUCAAUCGAUGGCGACCGGCGCACGGGUGAGUAACACGUAUCCAACCUGCCGAUAACUCGGGGAUAGCCUUUCGAAAGAAAGAUUAAUACCCGAUAGUAUAGUAUUUCCGCAUGGUUUCACUAUUAAAGAAUUUCGGUUAUCGAUGGGGAUGCGUUCCAUUAGAUAGUUGGCGGGGUAACGGCCCACCAAGUCAACGAUGGAUAGGGGUUCUGAGAGGAAGGUCCCCCACAUUGGAACUGAGACACGGUCCAA